AAUCAUGACUGGACAGGCAAAGAGGACACAUGGAGGGACCAGUACCAGAUUAUGUAAAACUCCAGCAGCACAGAGCAGCUCCACAUUCCUGUGUUCCAGCAUUGUAAAUCCGUUUCAGAUUGUAAAAGAGAUCAUGUGACCUGGGAUUUACCAGGUGAUCAUCAACGUCAGAAAAAACAAGAAACUUUCUGCUGACUUGGACCCUGUGAGACCUUCUGGUAAAAGGUCUGAAACCUAUCAUGGAAACCACAAAAAACAUUUUAACCAGCUGUAAGUAACCAUCAUCUACUGUACACAAAAUUUACAAGAUGAAGUUGUAUAUAUUUAGAGUUCCAAGCAAACCCGUUUUCACUCCCUGACUCCUCACAUAUGGUCAAGAGCCAUCGUCAUCAGUUUGUAAUGCAGUAAUGGAUCCCUUUACAGUCAUAGUUCAACGCAGUGGGGGAAGCCCUGUAGCGUCAGUUUUUGAUGGCAAAGGUGAUAUACAGAAAAGAGAGAGUAAGAGGUAGUUGGGGUGGAUGGAGGGCCUUGUGUCCUGUGUGAAACAAAAAGUCAACAUUAAAUUUUUUUGUUUAAGUUAGGCAAAGUUACGUAAAUUGACAUUAGUUAACUUAGGCUGUGCGUUAACUGAUGUACGUAGUUAUUUUAACCCAAACCAUGAGCUUUUCCUAACCUUGACCAAGUAGUUUUGUUGCCUAAACCCAACAAAGUACUUUUUGUGCCUAAACCUAACCA